rnacentral:rRNA from 1 species
UACAGAGGGGGCAAGCGUUGUUCGGAAUUACUGGGCGUAAAGGGCGCGUAGGCGGCCGCCUAAGUCAGACGUGAAAUCCCUCGGCUCAACCGGGGAACUGCGUCUGAUACUGGGUGGCUUGAAUUCGGGAGAGGGAUGCGGAAUUCCAGGUGUAGCGGUGAAAUGCGUAGAUAUCAGGAAGAACACCAAUGGCGAAAGCAGCUCUCUGGGACGGUACUGACGCUGAGACGCGAAAGCGUGGGGAGCGAACAGG